rnacentral:lncRNA from 1 species
GCCAUCUUGGCUCCUCCGCAUUUGUUUUUAUGGUGGUUUUGUAUUGUUUUUAUAGAGCUGCCCUCACAUGCUUCAGCAACAUUAGAUGUUCUGGAGACUGGAAAGUCCAAGAUCAUGGUGCCUGAGGAUUCAGUGUCUGGUAAGGGCUCAUUUCCUGGUUUGCAGUAGGUUGUCUUUUUGACUGUGUCUUCACAUGGUGAAAAGGAAAAACUCUGGUCUCCUCAGUCCCUUAUAAGGGCACUAAUCCCAUUCACAAGAGCUCCAUUCUCAUGACCUAAUAAACUCUCAAAAGCCCUACUUCACUGUACCAUCAUACUGGGGAUAAGGGGUCAAUGUAUGAAUUUUUGUAGAACAUAAA